GGAUUUCUGGGUCAAAUGGUACUUCUUUUGUAAGAUCUUUGAGAAAUUCCUACACUGUUUUCCACACUGACUGAACAAAUUCACAUCUUUAGCACUGUGUAAGUAUUCCAUCUUCUCCACGACCUUUCCAGAAUCUGUUAUUUUUUCUGCUUAAUUAUAGCCAUUCUGAUAGGUGUGAGAUGGUAUCUAUUAAUAGCUUGUCCAUUAAUAGCUUUCUGCUCUUUCCCUCUUCAUCAGUGGCAGAAGGUGGGAAAUUGUGGGCUGAAUUACUAUUGCUGAAAGUGCUUAACUAGUUUAAGGAGAUGUAGUUUAAAAGAAUUUGUCAGAUAAAGAUGACAUUAGUUGCUUCUCAUGUGGUGGUUGGGCAUUGCUUAGGCUGAGUGUUUUUCUUGAACUUUCUGUAGGUUAAAAGGCUUGGAAGAAGUUACUAAGGCUACUAUGCUCGGUCACCUUCUUCCAGUUUUGCUGACCUCCGUGACGCAUUGAAAGUUGCAGACUCAGAUCAUGGUCGAUACCCUGAUGCCUCAGUUAAUGCAGCUGGGACUGUAUACCAGCCAGACAGCUUGUGGCUUGAAAUCCAGUGUCCAUUUUCUGCUGAGGUGGGCUGUUCCCCAUGUGGUGCACCAGACCGGAAGUGCAGGCUGUUCCCUGAUGAGAGGCAAUGGAUGCUGCUUCCUUUCAGGAACCCUCUUCUUGUUUUCUUCUGAAUGUUAAAAGAGGCCAGGUGCAGUGGCUCACGCCU